UAUACUGAUGAAUUAUUUACAACGAAUUUCUUCAACUGAACAAUCGUGUGGAAUAAAAUAAUAUCAGAGCUUUUUAACCCUGACA
rnacentral:snoRNA from 1 species